UCGGGCGUGGUGUACGGUACAUGCUCCCCUCUUCUGGCCCAAAGUCGAUAUUGAGUGGGAGAGAGCCGGGUUCGACUCCCGGCGCCCGAG